rnacentral:rRNA from 1 species
UACGUAGGGUGCAAGCGUUAAUCGGAAUUACUGGGCGUAAAGCGUGCGCAGGCGGUGAUGUAAGACAGAUGUGAAAUCCCCGGGCUCAACCUGGGAACUGCAUUUGUGACUGCAUCGCUGGAGUGCGGCAGAGGGGGAUGGAAUUCCGCGUGUAGCAGUGAAAUGCGUAGAUAUCAAGAGGAACACCAGUGGCGAAGGCGAGUCCCUGGACAACACCUGACACUGAGGCACGAAAGCUAGGGGAGCAAACAGG